rnacentral:misc_RNA from 1 species
UGAGACAGCAGUUGCAGUUGGGGUAGAACCUGAAAACAAGUUGCCUUACAACGAGUAUUAUGAAUAUUUUGGCCCAGAUUAUACUCUUCAUGUUGAACCAAUUCCCAUGGAGAAUCUAAAUUCACCUAGGGAUCUGGAGAAGAUGAGGAACAUAUUGCUUGAGCAAAUCUCUCAGUUGCCUCAUGCACCUAGUGUGCCAUUUCAGACCACUCCUUCUACAACAGAAGUCCCAGAGGAGAAAGAGGAAAAUAUGGAUCGAAGGCCUAAACCACGGAUAUGGAAUGGUGAUGGUUAUGAGUCUGAUGCUGAUGAAGACGAGAAACCUAGACAGCGAAGUUCAGAUAGUAAUCUUACUCCAGUGGAAUCAUCUGACAUGAGGGAUGUGGACGACCAAGCCAAUGCAGAUGACAUGGUUGAUGAUCAUCCCUAGUUCAAAGCUCUUCUACAUCGUCUCAAAAUGCAAUGACUGAUACUAUUUUUGGGUCGGAAGUAACAAGCCUUGCUAUUUGACCUUUCGCCUCUCAUGAGCAAUUGUUUUGAUGUCUCUUUUGCUGAAAAUGGAACUAGAAAAAUGAGUUGUUAUAGUAGAUUGUAGUUAGUUGGAUAUAGGCUAGUGAUUGAUGAAUGAGAGCACAAUGCUGUCUCUCGUAAAUGGACCGGUGCACCACAAAGUAGACUUUGUUCUUAUGGAUACUGCUUAUUACAUACAAAUAUUAUCAGUGUUCUGCAAGAGUUAUCUGUGCAGUUCUGUGGAUUUAUCCAUGUACUUUUG